GAACGCUGGCGGCAGGCUUAACACAUGCAAGUCGAACGGGCACCUUCGGGUGUCAGUGGCAGACGGGUGAGUAACACGUGGGAACGUGCCCUUUGGUUCGGAACAACUCCGGGAAACUGGAGCUAAUACCGGAUAAGCCCUUCGGGGAAGGAUUUAUCGCCAAAGGAUCGGCCCGCGUCUGAUUAGCUAGUUGGUGAGGUAAUGGCUCACCAAGGCGACGAUCAGUAGCUGGUCUGAGAGGAUGAUCAGCCACACUGGGACUGAGACACGGCCCAGACUCCUACGGGAGGCAGCAGUGGGGAAUAUUGGACAAUGGGCGAAAGCCUGAUCCAGCCAUGCCGCGUGAGUGAUGAAGGCUUAGGUUGUAAAGCUCUUUCGGCGGGACGAUAAUGACGGUACCCGCAGAAGAACGCCCCGG
rnacentral:rRNA from 1 species